CAAUAAAUUUCAGUGAGAACUAGUGAGGACAUCGCGCUCAAUAUACACACACUGGUUCCCGUAGACCGUGUUAGGUACGGCGGUUAGUAAAAAUUAAUUUAUAGAAUAAAACGUAUUAUUGACUUCCAAAUAAGAUUUGAUAUAUGACAACAUUGUGCACGACUUAAAAAGUUACAGUUAGAACGGAAUUACCCAUACAGAUUUUUCUCAGACUUGCCUGCUAUUUUCGUAAAGAAAAAUAUAACGUAUUGAUGGCUUCUAAUUAUUCCCGACUCGUGUGAUACCUGACCUUAUACCACACGUAAAAAUCAAUUAUGCUGCAGUUCGAACUGAUGAUUCUCAUCUCGCAGCAUCAGCACCAGUGAUGUGCGUGAUUUCGCUAAGGAUAGUACUAGCAGUAGUAUGUUCGAUAUUAAUGUUACAUUGUGUCAAUCUAGUCCAAGCUAACUUCACAACUUACGAAGAGUUCGUAAUGUCCAACGCACUCAAAGAUGGUCAAGUUAUAAAGAUAUUCAGCUGUGCCAAGGGAUACUUGUUGAAAAAGAACAAGUGUAUUAAGAUAUUCGGAAAAUAGUAGGAACUAAGAUAUCUACAUCGAUUCAAUGCCACCAACACUAAGAAAAAAAUCUCUUAAUUUAAGACCUCAUUCGAAUAUAUUUCAACUUAGUUCAUAAUAUUUAUCUUUUAGGUAUUUUAUGUUUGCUAUUUAUCAAAAGUUGUUAUAUUUAUAAAAAAUAAUGUUUUACAUAUGUACAAUGCCAAGUAUAAGUUUGUUUUAAAUGUGUCUUAUGUGGAGCAGGUAUUUUUGUUAAGAAUAAGUUUAAUAAAGAAUAAUAUGUGUUUUGAUAGAGUUAUUUUAUGUUAGACUUACUAGUUUAUUAUUACUAGUCUUUUUUUAUUCUUCUGCAUUUUCUAGUUUUAUAGAUUAACAAAAAGAUAUAACAAUGAUAUUUCAAAUCCCUUAAGGUUUUGAUAAUAAAAAUAAACAAUAUUAUACUUUGUACUCCCCUAUAUCAAAUUACAUUUAUAUCAUAACGCCAUUUACAAGAAAACUCAUAACAUUUUGAAUCCUUCUACCAUUUUUGCAAUCAGUUUAAUAUGAAUAUCAGAAUGGGUGUUUUCUCAAUGGUUGUAUUUUUAGUGCUGUUACCCAUAGUAAUAGAAUCCCGACAUAUGAAACAUCAUACGACCCCAAGUGCUACAGAAUCUUCUACUAACUUCAUAGAAGCUUCUACCACCAGCAAUCCAACCAAAGAUUUUGCUUUAGGCAACAUAAUAACAACGAAAUGCCGAGAUGGUUAUAUUUAUGUUCACGGAUCCUGCAAGGAGAUCUUUGGAUAGCCAGGUGGACAGAAUGGUUUGCUUGCUUUUGACAUUAAGAAGAUUUUUAUAUUAAUAUUUAUCUAUAAUACGCUUUCCAAUAUUAACAAUCUUUAUUUAAAUCUAAUUAUACAGGGUCAGUCUUAAAUAAGAGCAAAUGUUUUAGGGAUUGUAUAUUUCGACCCCAGAAGCAGAUUUGAUCUAUAUGAAGUUUUAUUCGUGCAAAAGAAUUGAAAAUUUGAAAUUUUUUCAAAUAUUUUUGGAAAUUUUAUGAAUCUUUAGUUAAAAAACAUAACAUAUUUAUAAUAUGGCAACAUAGGUUGUAGAUUAAAUUUACAAGAAAAAACCCUAAAAAUGAUCCAGCGAGUGGUCCAAUCAAUGUUUUUUAAAUUUUUACAGUACAAUAACUCGGUUAUUUUAGACUUAUUUGAAAAACGGUAAAGAGAAAAUAUGUUUCUUUUAUCAAGAUCUGCCAGUCCUAAAAAUAUUUGCAUUUAUCUAAGCCUCACCCAGUGUAAUAUUAUGUAAUGCAAACUGGCGCUAUUAAAUAUGUAAUUAUUCUUUAAUUUGGUUUAGGUUUUUUAUGUAUUUUAAAUAUAUGUGCAAUAAGAUUAUUUUAUUUUUAGUAUACUUAAAAUGAAAACUAUCCAAAAUUAUUAACAACAUUAACUUACAAUUAUUGGAAUUUUAAUUUUAAAAUUUUGUAUCGCCUAGCGCAUUCGCCAUAAUUUUUCGAAAUAGUUUUCAAUUUUAUUAUAAAAUACAUGCUAAAAAGUGUAAAGAUAUUUAAUUUUAUAAUGUAAAUAUAAAUUUAUAAUACGGGAUAACAAAUUAAAAAAAAAUAUAUAUUUUCAAGUAACCAAUAGAUCUGAUUUUAAUUAUAUUUAAGAAGCCAUUUAUAAACAAAAUAAACAAUAAGAAUAAAAUUAUUGAUCAAUUUUUUACUCUUUCCUUCGCCAAAUUGUACAGAUUUUUGUAGACUUUUUUUAUUAGCUUCUAAAAAAAUUUAAAUCAAAACUAUAUCUUUUAUGUUUUUAGGAUAGUUUCUGUUGUAUUUGUUAGAAUAUAAUCACUGUUACUAAUUGUUGUUGCUGCUAAUAAUGGUAAAUUUUGCCAAUAUUUGAGUAUAUUGUCAAGGUCCGCGAAUUAUUAAUUAAAAAUGUGAUAAAUUCAA